rnacentral:rRNA from 1 species
CAGUAGCCACGGUAACACGAAGGGGGCUAGCGUUGCUCGGAAUGACUGGGCGUAAAGGGCGCGUAGGCGGAUGACACAGUCAGAUGUGAAAUUCCCGGGCUUAACCUGGGGGCUGCAUUUGAUACGUGUUGUCUAGAGUGAGGAAGAGGGCUGUGGAAUUCCCAGUGUAGAGGUGAAAUUCGUAGAUAUUGGGAAGAACACCGGUGGCGAAGGCGGCAACCUGGUCCUUCACUGACGCUGAGGCGCGAAAGCGUGGGGAGCAAACAGGAUUAGAUACCCGAGUAGUCCCUGUCUCUUAUAU